AACCUUUAGCCAAACAAAUAUUAAAGGCAACGCCUGCCCAGUGAAUAAUUAAACGGCCGCGGUAUCCUAACCGUGCAAAGGUAGCGUAAUCAUUUGUCUACUAAUUAUAGACCUGUAUGAAAGGCAAAAUGAGGGUCCAACUGUCUCUUAUAGUAAAUCAAUUAAACUGAUCUCCUAGUAAAAAAGCUAGGAUUACAACAUAAGACCAGAAGACCCUGUGAAGCUUAAACAAAACUAUUAAACCAUAUAAUAACUACUUUCGGUUGGGGCGACCUUGGAAAAAAAAAGAACUUCCAAAUAAAAUGACUAUCCCAUUAACCUAAACAGGCCAACAAGCCAAAAAUGACCCAGCACAGCUGAUAAUUGAACCAAGUUACUCCAGGGAUAACAGCGCAAUCUUCUUCAAGAGCCCAUAUCAAAAAGAAGGUUUACGACCUCGAUGUUGGAUCAGGACAUCCUAAUGGUGCAGCCGCUAUUAAGGGUUCGUUUGUUCAACGAUUAAUAGUCC
rnacentral:rRNA from 1 species